rnacentral:rRNA from 1 species
GGACUACAGGGGUAUCUAAUCCCGUUCGCUCCCCUAGCUUUCGCCCCUGAGCGUCAGGUACCAGCCAGGACACUGCCUUCGCCUUUGGUGUUCUUCCGGAUAUCUACGCAUUUCACCACUACACCCGGAGUUCCAUGUCCCUCUCUGGUCCUCUCAGUCCGCCCGUCUUCGCACCGCUCUCCCAGUUAAGCCAGGAGCUGUCAGCGCAAACUGAGCGGACCGCCUGCGGGCGCUUUACGCCCAGUAACUCCGGACAACGCUCGUCCCCUACGUAUUACCGCGGCGGCUGGCAC